UAGGAGAGGAAUUAAGAUACACCCUGUCCUAGGUGUACCUUACAAACUUGGGAUCGUUUGAAUUUUAGGUCAAUGUGAGGGGAAGAGGAAGGAAAUCCACAGUUAUUGUCCCAAUUCCUUCUUGCUGACUGCACACUGCUAUAAGCACUCUGGCUGGCAAAGCCAGUGUGAGGUUUAGCAUGAAAUUAGCCCAUGGAAGAAAAUUUCAGUUCAGA
rnacentral:lncRNA from 12 species